CUGUAGCCGUGAGCCCAAUAUGUUCUUGCUGAUAAUCCUAGGUUUAUGUUUAACCUACAGUCUUGCUAAGGUGUAUGGUUUCUACGCUGACACACAGAAAGUUAUCUUUACAUUGUUCUGCUUUUAUAAUACCACGUUGUGACUUUUGUGCAUCAGUUUUUGCAAAUGUAUUCUUUUUGUAUAAUUAUCACUGAAACUUUUCGUAACCUCGCUCCCCCUCCCCUAUCGAAAGAGCACAAUAAAAAACUGAGGCUUUCAGGGAAAUGUCAGACAUCCAUGGAGCAACAUUAUGUGGUGUCUCCCCUGGGCCCAGCUUCAAGGAAACCUUUUUCCUUGUCUUUCUUUUCACCGACCACUGGAUCACUUUGAGAGAUCCUAAACCCACAUUGAUGUAUUGGGAGCUGGUCUCGCCAAUAUUUGGUGCCCAACGUAGCUUUUUAUUAUUAUUACUAUUCUCUCUUAGGUGCAUUCUGAGUGCAGGUUUUGCUGCAAUUUUUUUCAUCAAGUACGGUCUCCGAAUACGGUGUCUUCACUCCCUGUCGACUGCAUUAAAAUUCUCUGACUACAUCACAACAAUGAACAAGCCCUGACUGCAGUGGUCCAUUAAAGAAGAAAAGUCCAUGCUGGGAAUACUCUGGACCCCUCCGUGGUGACGGAGCAAGCCCACGCUUCUGGAAGAAUGGCAAAACCCAAGCUAACUGAAAUAACAAGAAGGAAUUGUUGUUGACUUUUAACCCAUAAAUUCUCUUAGAAUUUAGUUUCCCUGAAAUGAGUUAUUUGCUUUGUGAUGCUUGUUACUUGCUGUAUCGAUUAUGCUUGAGAAAAUAAAGGACAAUGUGAAAUGCUGAGAUGUGACUUG
rnacentral:lncRNA from 13 species